rnacentral:rRNA from 1 species
CAGUAGCCGCGGUAAUACGUAGGUGGCAAGCGUUGUCCGGAAUUACUGGGCGUAAAGCGCACGUAGGCGGCUUGGUAAGUUAGAGGUGAAAGCCCGGAGCUCAACUCCGGAAUUGCCUUUAAGACUGCCGAGCUAGUAGGUGAGAGAGGUAAGUGGAAUUCCGGUGGAGCGGUGAAAUGCGUUGAGAUCGGAAGGAACGCCCGUGGCGAAAGCGAGGUCCCGGACGUCUACUGACGCUGAGACGCGAAAGCUAGGGGAGCGAACGGGAUUAGAUACCCCCGUAGUCCCUGUCUCUUAUACC